UAUCUGUCAUCAAAACCACAAGGGACCUGGACCACUUCACAUUUGGUUGUUGAAUGAAGCUGUUCUUCGGUUACUAGAACUGCUGCACGACAGCUGAUCAGCUGUACAAUCAACUGAUAGAACCAGGAACAAUCACACGAUAGCAUAAAAUUCAUGAUUUCUUCACAGAGUUCAUCAAUACUUGGUGUCAAGGUUGAGCAGACAGGCCUGGUCCUUUCUUGGUAUGGAGGCUUUCGUUCAAAAGGACUGGAACUU
rnacentral:lncRNA from 1 species